rnacentral:rRNA from 1 species
UGACGACCAUAGCAAGGUGGUCCCACUCCUUCCCAUCCCGAACAGGACAGUGAAACGCCUUCGCGCCGAUGAUAGUUGACAUUCGUCUGUGAAAGUAGGUCAUCGUCAGGCU